CUGUUGGGAGUCCCACAAAAAACAGAGCAGUUAGAAGAGGACACAACAUCUCUAGGGUUUAUCUUUCCAAGAAAGGUGUAAGGUACCCUCAAGCACCAAGUUCUUCAUAGGGAAGAUUUCAUGUGACACUGACCAAUGACUGAGAAAAAAAUGUGUAUAAGUGUUAAACCUAAGAAAAUACACCUGCCGUUUAAUUAACUGUGUCAUGGAUAUAAAGCACUUUAUUUUCUUCACAUAAACGAUAAAAUUGUAACUUGUUAUGCUGUCAGGAUAUCUGGAAUAAAAUUAUUAAGUAGAGACAUUUGAUGAUGCUGGGCAAGUUACAGCAAAAAGGAGCAUGAGAAAAGAAUAGGUCUUACAAUUGUUGAUAAAGAAGUGAAGCUUCUGUCAAAUUAAGUACUUCCGAAUGGAUGGCUUGACUUUCCUUAGAGGACUUACGUGGAGAAGAAUCCUGAUGUUGACGGCCAGUUUAUAUAAAUCCAGCAUAGGAUGAAGAUGCUGUUAUGUACAAGGCAUGAAGAGGGUUUUUGCCACAUAUAGAACCCUUGGCCAUCUUUACCUGGAACCUCUGGAACUGAGAGAAAGUGUUUUAUAAAUUUAUAAGCUCGUAAGACUGUAUAUUGUUUCUGAAAGCAAAGAGAAUGAACUGGAGGAACAAAGUCAUUUAAAUCUUUUAGGGUCUUAAUCUUUAUUAGAAAAUGAAUUACAGAAAUGCUUAACACUUUCCUUAAGGAAAGAAUAUUCAAGUAUAGCAAAGGCACAGAAUAUAUAGGAAACAUUGUUAAGGCAAAGCUUGCUUCUAAAAUUUAUUGUUAAAUUUAAAAAGUGUCAUAUAUUUAUCAUUAUUCAUUGAUUAUUGCCAUAUAUUUAAUGUCAAGUUAAUAAUAUAUUUUUAGUGUUCUCUCUGAAAUAUUUAGAGCAGUCAAAUGUUAGCAGAUAUGGAUUACUUUGCAGACAACACACUUAGUUUUCAUUAUAGUGAGUUACGUGCUUCUGUGUUUUUAAAUUCAGACUAUUUUUACUGGAAUGUUCAUGAAAAAUGCUGAAAUGUCACAGGUGUGUUUUUCUUCAUGUUUAAAGGUUUCCAAUUAUGGAACAUUUAUCCUUUACAUAAUAAACCAGGACUACGCCAGC